CACGCCGUUACCAACCUCGUCUUCCAUCGGAAGCCACCGAGAUGCGGCCAUAGGUUGUCGUGCCAGAGCCCAGAGGCCGUCGGUAUGUGGGCUCGGGUGUGGCAGAGCUUGAACGGAGGCUAUCGGUGCGCGGGCUCGGGCGUGGCGGAGCUCCAGCGGAGGCAGGGUCUCCGUGCCAGCACCCACGGGCAGAUAGGAGGAGGCGGCGCUCUGCCUGAUCUGCCUGGACCCCCAUGGAGCCCGGCGCACCAGUGUCCGGGAAGGAGAUGGCGGAGGAGCUACUCAAGAUGGUCACUGAAAGUGCGAUAGCUAAAUCAUGGCUGGCGACUUGAUGUGGUUUUUCAUUUGAUCUUGUACAGGUGGUAUAAAAAAAUCUUUUCAACAUUCGUGUGGAAAAAAGAGAGAGAAUUCAGCUGUAGCAUGUUUGAUUGUAGUUUUGUGCAGUUCAGUUAUAAAUGGAGAAUUUGUUCAAGAAAACUGGCAAGAUGCUAGAGAAUAUUCAGAACUUCAGAUGGUACCUACCAUCCGUUCCUGUUGCCAUUGGAGGAUGUUCAGUUUCAUGCAGGUUCCUGUUGAAGCUACUAAAGCCAGCAAUUUACUAAAGUAUGGACAUAUGUACAAGACUUCUGUUGAUGGAUAUCUCACAGAGGUUGCAAAGGACCCCAGUAGAUCAGUGUACAAUGGUUUUGUUCUGAAAUUGCUUUGUAAGAGUUGCCGUCCAAAUGGCACAAGAUGUAUGCACAUUGUAAAUUUUUAUCUGAAAUACAUAUGGCAUCUUGGCAGAGUUAAAUCCUGUA